rnacentral:lncRNA from 1 species
GCUUCGAACACCUCUGCCCCCGGAAGUUGAUUUCCGCCAAGGCCCGCCCAACACAGCGCCCGUCACUCAACGUAAACACGCGCGUCACGUGGCCCCAGGCCGAGGCCCGGGUCGGGGCCCCAUGUUCAGAGCCCUGCCACCCCAGCUUGAGCGUGGUCUUUGGAGCGUUGCCCUGUGAAAAGGGGUGACUUUGCCAUGCUCCUUCCCAGUCUACCUCCUGUUAGUUACAGUUUCUCAUUCCUCUUGAGUAGCAGGCCCUGUUUCUCCACCUAAUCCCUGCAAGUAAACCGUCCCCCAAAUCAAAAUGAGUUCCAUCUGGAACUUUGUAGGAUUGGUCCUAAGAAGAUCCCGCCGAAUCUCUUCACCACUUCCUAGCAGAGCACAGUAAAACCGGGGACUAAGCAAAGUGGCUGACAUGUAGUAAGUGCUCAAGAAAUGGAUGUUGACUAGAUGCUACCUCUCAUCUUUGCCUGUCUGAACUCUCAAGCACCGGAUGCAAGUAGACUGAGAGCCUCCGCCAACCAGGUCUCGCUCUGUCACCCAGGCUGGAGUGCGCUGGCAUAAUCAUGGUUCACUGCAACCUUGAACUCCUGGGCUUGAGAGAUCUAUAUGAAUUUUAAGGCACAGUCUCACUCUCUUACCCAAUCUGGAGUGCAGUGGUGUGAUCUCGGCUCACUGCAACCUCUGCCUCAUGGGUUCAAGCAAUUCUCCUGCCUCAGCCUCCCAAGUAGCUGGGAUUACAGGCUGGAGUGCAGUGGUGCAAUCUCGGCUCACUACAACCUCCGCCUCCUGGGUUCAAGUGAUUCUUCUGCCUCAGUCUCUUGAAUAGCUGGGAUUACAGGUGCCCACCACCACGCCUGACUAAUUUUUUGUAUUUUUAGUAGAGAUGGGUUUUCAUCAUGUUGGCCAGGCUGGUCUCGAACUUCAGACCUCAGGUGAACCACCAGCCUCGGCCUCCCAAAGUGCAGGGAUUACAGGCGUGAGCCACUGUGCCUGGCCUCCUCUGUUAUUUCAUAAGAGCAGGUUCUCUUGACUUUUUCCUCAACGUGGCUCCAUUUGCCCUAAAACUAUUAGGAAUCUCUUGAGUGUUGUGACAGGUCAAUGGUACCCUUCCAUAGUUUCUAGUACCAAUUCUGGGGUUAAACCAUUCUUGAAUUUCAAUAGGAAGAUGUUAAUUGAG